rnacentral:rRNA from 1 species
GGGUUGUGAGGUUAAGCGACUAAGCGUACACGGUGGAUGCCCUGGCAGUCAGAGGCGAUGAAGGGCGUGCUAAUCUGCGAUAAGCGCCGGUAAGGUGAUAUGAACCGUUAUAACCGGCGAUACCCGAAUGGGGAAACCCAGUGUGAUUCGUCACACUAUCAUUAACUGAAUCCAUAGGUUAAUGAGGCGAACCGGGGGAACUGAAACAUCUAAGUACCCCGAGGAAAAGAAAUCAACCGAGAUUCCCCCAGUAGCGGCGAGCGAACGGGGAGGAGCCCAGAGCCUGAAUCAGCAUGUGUGUUAGUGGAAGCGUCUGGAAAGUCGCGCGAUACAG